rnacentral:rRNA from 1 species
AGCGGGAAGCCUGCUUCGAGAUGAGGACUCCCACCCACUUGAUGGGGUAAGGCUCCCAGUAGACGACUGGGUUGAUAGGCCGGAUCUGGAAGCCAGGUAACUGGUGGAGGUGACCGGUACUAAUAGGCCGAGGGCUUGUCCU